CGCACAGCUCAGCCCCUCGUGGCUAACCUGCCCUUAGGACGGGUGCACCCCCGGGAAACUGGGGCUAAUCCCCGAUAGGUGAAGAACACUGGAAUGUGUCUUUGCCUAAAAGCCGUCAGAGCAUCUUUCUGGCGGUGCCUAAGGAUGGGGCCGCGACCGAUCAGGUUGUUGGUGAGGUAAUGGCCCACCAAGGGUAUGAGGGGUGCGGGCCGUGAGAGCGGGAGCCCGGAGAUGGGCACUGAGACAAGGGCCCAGGUCCUACGGGGGGGGGGAGUCGCGAAACCUUUGCAAUACACGAAAGUGUGACAGGGUCAUCCCGAGUGCCGACCGCUGAGGUUGGCUUUUACCCAGUCUAGAAAGCUGGGGGAAUAAGGAGAGGGCAAGUCUGGUGUCAGCCGCCGCGGUAAUACCAGCUCUCCGAGUGGUGUGGACGUUUAUUGGGCCUAAAGCAUCCGUAGCUUGCUGAAUAAGUCCCCUGUUAAACCCACCGAUUUAAUCGUUGGUCUGCGGGGGAUACUGUUCGGCUAGGGGACGAGAGAGGCAGACGGUAUUCCCGGGGUAGGGGUGAAAUCCUAUAAUCCCGAGAAGACCACCAGUGGCGAAGGCUGUCUGCUAGAACGCGCCCGACGGUGAGGGAUGAAAGCUGGGGGAGCGAACC
rnacentral:rRNA from 1 species